ensembl:lncRNA
CGACAGAACGCUGCCAAUAUUCACGUGACUCAAAGCUUGCGCCUGCAUGGUCAAAUCUCUGAAAAGUUGGAAUUAUGGCAGGAAACUGGCUCCAUAUCAUUGCGCUCUCGAAAUGCAUUUUGGGUCCGUCCGUUCAGACCUGUCCAUGGUUCAGAGUCGCACUCGCGACGCUCAUCCGUCGAAGGACGCAUGGUGUGUGGAACAAGCGUACAUAGGCCUACCUGAUCGCGUUCAUUUGUUCGCCUCCCUCCACCUCCCUCUCUCUCUGGUGCAUAUUUAAGCCACUUCUUAAGUGUCCCUGAAAAAACAAUAUGGGUGGUCCCUGGCAGCUGUUUUUGGAGUGCAGCUGAAAGAAAGAAAGAAACAAACCCGGUCAAGAAUUACCAACAUGGCGACGAGGCAGCUUGAUGGAUGAAGCGGCAGCUUCUGGUGCUACCGGCCUCACCAUCUCUCUCCUAAGCGCCCUCACUUCACUCCCCAGAUUGUCGUGCUGUUUUCCUUGGGGGGGGGUGGUGCCUCGUCAUCAGUGUCCACACCUUGAAGCAUAUUUAACUCUAAAGGUCUGCACCUUCAAAAAAGUGUUGCGGCGGGCCCGUAGUGGUCUGGACUCUUCCAGCUGGCUCCUGCAGCUAACCAAGACCCUCACGUCACCAUGCACGUCCCACGCUGCACCUGGAGGAAGUUGGUGCGCGACUGCCUUCUGGAGGCGGUUAUGAUCGUAAGAACUAGGAGGCCAGAAACAAUUCCAUGACUCCCCUGCCUCCUCCAACCAGCUGCUUGGCACUAUGGUAGUGCUCCUAUCUUUGAAUUCGACGACCUUCCACACCUGUGCCAUCUGUCAAUGAGAAGACAAGGAAUUAGGAUUGGUGAAGAAGAGGGAUGGCAACAUAAUGGUCUUGGUCUGUGAAAAAGCACACAUUUUCUGCUGACAUCCCCAAGGAGCUCAACCUCAAGAUCAUCUACCAACGUAUGGACCUGAAAACAGCCUAUUCGAGAGGAGGGGCAGGGAUAUGUGAAAUGGGAUUCCUUGUACCCAAAUCGUCUGUAGAUGAUGAAGACUGAACCAGAGGAUAGCACAAUGUUUUGGACCAGUCCAAUAUCCUGUCCUACUGCUAUGCAGUUGUUCCCAGUGUUUGUUGACAGGCAGAAAUCUGUUGUUACUACCUUUCUGUACUGUUUGGCAGUACUGAAUUGCAGAGGCAAAGGACCAUCCUGGUGCAUUUCGUACAAAAGGGGCUGCUUACUUGGAGGUGGAGUAACAGUUUGAGGCACCUCUGACAGUCUCUUGACUACCUGUUGUAAUGGUAGUUGAGGCUUUCGCAUUUUUUUUUUUACUUUUCCAUGGAAGUUUUCAUAAGGAAAUGCAGAGACACGGUCAAGGGCACCAAACUGUUUGUACACAUCAGCUAGAUGUAUCACCUGAUGAACUGUAAAUACAAUUUCUCCUUGACCAUAUAAAUCUCCAAAGCUUUUAACAAAUGCUGUUAGGACUCGAUUGGCAAAAUCAAUCAUGGGUGCAGAGAGGUUGGGGCUGAGUAAUAAGAACACACCCAUGGAAAACAACAGGAAGUUCUCAAAAAUCUCUUCUGGUAGAUUGUGCUUUAGGACCACAGGUCCACUGUAAAUCAUGAACUGCCUUAGUUCUGUAGCCUUCCAUCUUUCGAUCUCUGUCAGCUCUCGUGGUUUUCGGGCAAAUUCAGAUGGAAUAUGGGGACGGAGAGCAAUCAGUUUAGAUGAUAUAGCUGAGAUGACAUUAGAUGGCUGUCUUAUGGCCAGGUUCUUCCUUCAUCCAGAAAAGAAUGAGUUUUUUUGUUACACCCAAACAGCAGAGGUGCAUGUAAUCAAUGGGAAACUGGGUUACCAUCUGAACAAUGCCAGUAAGGGGACUAGGUCGCAGGUGGUGAUCUGUGUCUGACAUUAAAG